GUGUUUACAGUUUACAGCCAAAAAGCCACCAUUAAUUCUGAUCCUCUUAUUUGAUUUACUUCAGGGGCUUCGACAACAGAGCUUCUCCUCAUCCUCCACAUCCAAAUCCACUAAUACCCUCUUUGUCUUACUACUGUUGUUUUUACUGAAAAUGGAAGUAGUAGUGGUAUUAAUAGUAGU